AUCUUGACAGUGCCAUUAUAACUGUAUGUUGACCUUCCCUGAUAAGGAAAUGCAGCGGCGAUGGAUGCGUGUCGACUUCGGUGCGCUGCAAUCUUCAUCCUUGUGGCUCAUUUCCUGCUCUCCGUGGGCUGCUCUUCAUCAUCGGCCUGUACGACGGCGGUACCGAAGGCCUGCCGCAGUGCCACUUGCUACUACAGCAUCGCCACCUUGGACCGAAUCGUGAAGGAAGCGACGCACAACCCGGACAGUGACAAAAUUCAACUGGCGUUGAGCGAACAGUCCCCAGCAUCGCUCCCAGGUUGAUCAGAUCAGUCUUUGCUGACUCUCGCACAAAUGUCUCCUUCGACUGCGCCGUACACAACGUCAACUACAGCACGCCGCUGGAUCUCCCGGAUAUUGUUUGGCUGCACAAUCAACGCGCGCUGGCCCAUCUCAGCAGCGGCCGUCUCACCACCGCCAACACCUGGGACCUCCAGCAUUCCGUCCACUCCCGUCCAUCCCCGGGAUCCGCCUUCGCUGACGUCAGCGCGACGCUCACCCUGACAGCCGUCGCGUGGAAGGACAGCGGUGAUGUGAGGUGCAAUCAGCUCUGUGUCGUGGCCCGGCCCGUGACCUCGAAGACUGGCGAAUCGAUCGCCUGCUCCACCUCUGACCAGAACUUCCGCUUGCUGGUCUUCCCCUCCGCCAGCAAACUCUUCCCGGUUCCCACGGCCAACGUCAGUGCGCGCUGCGGGACGGAUGCAAAUCUCAGCUGCGUCGCCAACCUCCGGGACGCUGGCAGUACACCGGGCUUUAUUUGGCGUUUUAACGGUCACGUAAUCGCCGCCCCGCCGACCACCCACUGCAGGCCCUGGUCGACGCCGCCGUGAGUCGUGCCGGACGCAGGAUCGCAUCGGAGCGCUUUCCCUUAAGCGGCAUCUCCGCAGCUAUGGAGUUGCCCUUUGCCAUCUUCUACAGCAACACGGCGAUGACGAUGACCAGCACCCUGGUCCUUUACCGCGUGGACCUGCACACCUCGGCGCGGGUCGAGUGCUGGGUGCGGCCUGACGUCAACCAGGAGGGGUGGCGCCGGCAGACCGUCUACCACGAACAUGAUAACCACUCCGGCCGUCUGAUCCUGUCUAAGGUGUUCCUCCAGGAUGGCUGGCAGCUUCUCGAAGUUAUCGGCGUUUUACGAAGCCUCCUCCACGCCGGAAACUGUGCGUCUAUUCCCGUUUGCCUCUGCUGAUGUUGCUGACGGCAGCGCGGAAGAACUUCUUCGUGCAUGGUGUUGUUGGUGGAGCGCUCCGCUGCCUGCGAGCCUGCUGGUGAUGUGGAUGUGCGAGCAGUUUCUGAUACCGAUGCCGCUUUGGUUAUUCCAUGAUUGUGCGCUGCCCGUUAACCGAUGCGAUUUCGCGCCAGUCGGCUUCUGGUCGACAAAUUUUUAACUUAAAAUGAUUCCUCACUACAUAUUUUUAGUUUUUUAACAAAAGGAAAAUAGAAAAAGAGCACGUUUUGUGGGAUGAAUCAUAAAAAAACGGGAAUUU